rnacentral:rRNA from 1 species
ACGCUAGCUACAGGCUUAACACAUGCAAGUCGAGGGGCAGCAUGGUCUUAGCUUGCUAAGGCCGAUGGCGACCGGCGCACGGGUGAGUAACACGUAUCCAACCUGCCGUCUACUCUUGGACAGCCUUCUGAAAGGAAGAUUAAUACAAGAUGGCAUCAUGAGUCCGCAUGUUCACAUGAUUAAAGGUAUUCCGGUAGACGAUGGGGAUGCGUUCCAUUAGAUAGUAGGCGGGGUAACGGCCCACCUAGUCUUCGAUGGAUAGGGGUUCUGAGAGGAAGGUCCCCCACAUUGGAACUGAGACACGGUCCAAACUCCUACGGGAGGCAGCAGUGAGGAAUAUUGGUCAAUGGGCGAGAGCCUGAACCAGCCAAGUAGCGUGAAGGAUGACUGCCCUAUGGGUUGUAAACUUCUUUUAUAAAGGAAUAAAGUCGGGUAUGGAUACCCGUUUGCAUGUACUUUAUGAAUAAGGAUCGGCUAACUCCGUGCCAGCAGCCGCGGUAAUACGGAGGAUCCGAGCGUUAUCCGGAUUUAUUGGGUUUAAAGGGAGCGUAGAUGGAUAUUUAAGUCAGUUGUGAAAGUUUGCGGCUCAACCGUAAAAUUGCAGUUGAUACUGGAUAUCUUGAGUGCAGUUGAGGCAGGCGGAAUUCGUGGUGUAGCGGUGAAAUGCUUAGAUAUCACGAAGAACUCCGAUUGCGAAGGCAGCCUGCUAAGCUGCAACUGACAUUGAGGCUCGAAAGUGUGGGUAUCAAACAGG